GCUGGAUCGGUGACAGGUGCUGCAUGGCUGUCGUCAGCUCGUGUCGUGAGAUGUUGGGUUAAGUCCCGCAACGAGCGCAACCCUCGCCCUUAGUUGCCAGCAUUUAGUUGGGCACUCUAAGGGGACUGCCGGUGAUAAGCCGAGAGGAAGGUGGGGAUGACGUCAAGUCCUCAUGGCCCUUACGGGCUGGGCUACACACGUGCUACAAUGGUGGUGACAGUGGGCAGCGAGACGGCAACGUCGAGCUAAUCUCCAAAAACCAUCUCAGUUCGGAUUGGGGUCUGCAACUCGACCCCAUGAAGUUGGAAUCGCUAGUAAUC
rnacentral:rRNA from 1 species